AUUGAACGCUGGCGGCAUGCCUUACACAUGCAAGUCGAACGGUAACGGGCCUUCGGGUGCCGACGAGUGGCGAACGGGUGAGUAAUACAUCGGAACGUGCCCGAUCGUGGGGGAUAACGAGGCGAAAGCUUUGCUAAUACCGCAUACGAUCUACGGAUGAAAGCAGGGGACCGCAAGGCCUUGCGCGGACGGAGCGGCCGAUGGCAGAUUAGGUAGUUGGUGGGAUAAAAGCUUACCAAGCCGACGAUCUGUAGCUGGUCUGAGAGGAUGAUCAGCCACACUGGGACUGAGACACGGCCCAGACUCCUACGGGAGGCAGCAGUGGGGAAUUUUGGACAAUGGGCGCAAGCCUGAUCCAGCCAUGCCGCGUGCAGGAUGAAGGCCUUCGGGUUGUAAACUGCUUUUGUACGAAACGAAAAGCCUUCUUUUAAUACAGGAGGGUCAUGACGGUACCGUAAGAAUAAGCACCGGCUAACUACGUG
rnacentral:rRNA from 1 species